AAACUUUCAACAACGGAUCUCUUGGUUCUCGCAUCGAUGAAGAACGCAGCGAAACGCGAUAUGUAAUGUGAAUUGCAGAAUUUUGUGAAUCAUCGAAUCUUUGAACGCACAUUGCGCCCUCUGGUAUUCCGGAGGGCAUACCUGUUUGAGCGUCAGU
rnacentral:rRNA from 5 species